rnacentral:rRNA from 1 species
UACGGGGGGAGCAAGCGUUGUUCGGAUUUACUGGGCGUAAAGAGCGCGCAGGCGGUCGGAUAAGUCGAAUGUGAAAGCCCCUGGCUCAACCAGGGAGGGUCAUUCGAUACUGUUCGACUCGAAGGCAGGAGAGGUUGGUGGAAUUCCGAGUGUAGAGGUGAAAUUCGUAGAUAUUCGGAGGAACACCAGAAGCGAAGGCGGCCAACUGGCCCGAUACUGACGCUGAGGCGCGAAAGCGUGGGGAGCAAACAGG